AAACUGACAUGUGUAAAUGGGUGUGAAGCAUUGUGUAUACGUUUUACUAUCAAAUAAAAAAGGCUUUAUUUGCACUCUUACUUUCG
ensembl:ncRNA T28D6.11 ncRNA